UUAUAAAAGGGAUAAGGCUUAAAUAUGUAGAUCGAACUUUGAGAAAAGACUCAUCUAUGUCAUCUGGUAAAGUUUGGUGUGUAAUGGUUUGAAUGAGCCUUUUCUCGAACGAAAAUGGUGUAGAUGAGUUAAAUUUUUAACGGAUUACAUAAUUGAGCCUUUUCUCAUAGUUCGAUGACAUAUUUGAGCCUUUUUCCAAUUAUAA